GACAGAGCCUAUCGAUAAAGGGGUUUCACCGUUUAACAAUAAUAAUAAUACAGCUAAUACAGAUCACUUAAAGAAGGAUGAAGAUAUGGUUAUUGUUUCAGUAUAGGGAAAUGGGGUUCCAAAUGCUGUGAUUGGCUGACGGUUUUUAUGGGCAUCCGCCCAUAAAAACAGGGCCGUGGCACAACUCAAUUUUUCCCAAUCUCAAUUUCCCAUUACUUGGAAAUCUCACUCCUUUCUUGGCACCAAAAUCAGGUGUCUCCUUUACCAUCAUUAUUGCUGCCAAACUCGGAAAAGCUGAGUAAUUAAAAGAUUAUUUAAUAUCCUACAAAUUAAUUUUCUGACAUCCACUCAAUUACAUAAAUCGGUUCAACUCACCACAAGUUAAGCUCUAAGCUUCAACUCUCGGUAACUGCUAAGGACAAUUUUUCAUCCAUUAAUUUUGCGACCUCUCUGCCGUGCCCCCACCAGAAAUCUGUGUCAUCGCCGGCCAACCUGGUAAAUAACAACUUUAACUGGAUUCUGCAACAAUAAGGACCAAGGAACUUGUAUUUCGUAAUGCACUAUAUUUUAUUGAAGUAUACACUCAUCAAUUACCAUUAGUUGUUGUUCGUGACCUGGUAACAGUGUGAAAUUGUCGGAAACUUCGUUAAAGUUUUACAAGAUUCAAAAAUAGUUUCUCAUAUAAUGAACGAUAUAAUAUUUGUGCCAAUUGUUACUCAAUAUUGUGACCUAUUGCCCCUUCCUCCACCAGAUCCGUGUCUCCACCGGUCAAUUUAUCUUAUAAAGUGUGAUGAGAAGAGAUGGUAAAGGGUAAAGUGAGACGGAUGGUGCGCAGCGAGUGCUACGGCUUCAUUUAUGCGGCAUCAAAAAUACAUGGAGAAAUUUGAACUGCGAACCAGCCAAUCACAUCAUUCCAGCCCCGUCCUAUACUGAAUAACUAACAUUGGAACUGUUUAUCUCUAUAGGAUACCAUGAUCGUUGAUAAUAAUACAGAGUACAAAGUUUAGAGCCAGGAAAAUAUUGCCAUUUUCCUUCGUGCCACUUCCUACAAUAGGAGAGAUUGAGGGAGUAAAAUGUGUAGAAAAUAAAAGUGUGCGUGGCUCUAUCGCCAGGUCCGUCGCAUAUUUUUAGUUCGCUUACUCGUAUUAUUGUUUUCAGAGCUGACGAAUCUAUUCUUCCAACUUUAAAAGUCGAAAUUAAAGACUCGUUGCGUUGGGGUCAUUUUUCUGUAUGCAAAGAUCAUCAGUCAUUUCAUUGGAGACUGAGGCAUAAAACAAAAUAGAGCAGGAGAUUGAGUAGACAGAC